rnacentral:tmRNA from 1 species
GGGGAUGUAAAGGUUUCGACGGGGAUCUCGAAGAGCGAUAAGCGGGUAGAGGCGCGCAGAACUCUUUAAAAGGCGCACGUUUUAAAAUUAGACGACAACGAUAAUUUUGAACUGGCUGCUGCCUAAGUGCAGUGCCCGUCUUGCCUGAGAGUACCACGGCUCAGGUAAAGGCGUCGACUUAGUGGUGAACGUUCCCGGGCAACGGCUGUAGCCAGAGAAUGUAUCACAGCCUACCGAACAGUGCCGCUUGCUUGUUUGCAGCGCUGCAAGGGAAACGGCGCAAGCCGCAAUAACAAGCUGCACCCGAAGAAAUUCGCUGGGACAGGUUUUCGGACACGGGUUCAAUUCCCGUCAUCUCCACCA